UACAGAGGGUGCGAGCGUUAAUCGGAAUUACUGGGCGUAAAGCGUGCGUAGACGGUUAUUUAAGUCGGGUGUGAAAGCCCCGGGCUCAACCUGGGAAUUGCAUUCGAGACUGAAUAGCUAGGGUACGGUAGAGGGAAGCGGAAUUUCCGGUGUAGCGGUGAAAUGCGUAGAUAUCGGAAGGAACAUCAGUGGCGAAAGCGGCUUCCUGGACCAGUACCGACGUAGGCACGAAAGCGUGGGGAGCAAAGCAGGG
rnacentral:rRNA from 1 species